AACGAACGCUGGCGGCAUGCCUAACACAUGCAAGUCGAACGAGAUCUUCGGGUCUAGUGGCGCACGGGUGCGUAACGCGUGGGAAUCUGCCCUUUGGUUCGGAAUAACAGUUGGAAACGACUGCUAAUACCGGAUGAUGACGAAAGUCCAAAGAUUUAUCGCCAGAGGAUGGAGCCCGCGUAGGAUUAGCUAGUUGGUGUGGUAAAGGCGCACCAAGGCGACGAUCCUUAGCUGGUCUGAGAGGAUGAUCAGCCACACUGGGACUGAGACACGGCCCAGACUCCUACGGGAGGCAGCAGUGGGGAAUAUUGGACAAUGGGCGAAAGCCUGAUCCAGCAAUGCCGCGUGAGUGAUGAAGGCCUUAGGGUUGUAAAGCUCUUCUACCCGGGAUGAUAGUGACAGUACCGGGAGAAUAAGCUCCGGCUAACUCCGUGCCAGCAGCCGCCGUAACAC
rnacentral:rRNA from 1 species